AGAGUUUGAUCCUGGCUCAGGACGAACGCUGGCGGCGUGCUUAACACAUGCAAGUCGAACGAAAAGAGGGAAAGAGCUUGCUCUUUCCGGAAUUGAGUGGCAAACGGGUGAGUAACACGUAAACAACCUGCCUUCAGGAUGGGGACAACAGACGGAAACGACUGCUAAUACCGAAUAAGUUCCAAGAGCCGCAUGGCUCAUGGAAGAAAAGGUGGCCUCUACCUGUAAGCUAUCGCCUGAAGAGGGGUUUGCGUCUGAUUAGCUGGUUGGAGGGGUAACGGCCCACCAAGGCGACGAUCAGUAGCCGGUCUGAGAGGAUGAACGGCCACACUGGAACUGAGACACGGUCCAGACUCCUACGGGAGGCAGCAGUGGGGAAUCUUCCGCAAUGGGCGAAAGCCUGACGGAGCAACGCCGCGUGAGUGAUGACGGCCUUCGGGUUGUAAAACUCUGUGAUCCGGGACGAAAAGGCAGAGUGCGAAGAACAAACUGCAUUGACGGUACCGGAAAAGCAAGCCACGGCUAACUACGUGCCAGCAGCCGCGGUAAUACGUAGGUGGCAAGCGUUGUCCGGAAUUAUUGGGCGUAAAGCGCGCGCAGGCGGCUUCCCAAGUCCCUCUUAAAAGUGCGGGGCUUAACCCCGUGAUGGGAAGGAAACUGGGAAGCUGGAGUAUCGGAGAGGAAAGUGGAAUUCCUAGUGUAGCGGUGAAAUGCGUAGAGAUUAGGAAGAACACCGGUGGCGAAGGCGACUUUCUGGACGAAAACUGACGCUGAGGCGCGAAAGCGUGGGGAGCAAACAGGAUUAGAUACCCUGGUAGUCCACGCCGUAAACGAUG
rnacentral:rRNA from 1 species